GACGAACGCUGGCGGCGUGCUUAACACAUGCAAGUCGAACGGAAAGGCCCUGCUUUUGUGGGGUGCUCGAGUGGCGAACGGGUGAGUAACACGUGAGUAACCUGCCCUUGACUUUGGGAUAACUUCAGGAAACUGGGGCUAAUACCGGAUAGGAGCUCCUGCUGCAUGAUGGGGGUUGGAAAGUUUCGGCGGUUGGGGAUGGACUCGCGGCUUAUCAGCUUGUUGGUGGGGUAGUGGCUUACCAAGGCUUUGACGGGUAGCCGGCCUGAGAGGGUGACCGGCCACAUUGGGACUGAGAUACGGCCCAGACUCCUACGGGAGGCAGCAGUGGGGAAUAUUGCACAAUGGGCGGAAGCCUGAUGCAGCAACGCCGCGUGCGGGAUGACGGCCUUCGGGUUGUAAACCGCUUUCGCCUGUGACGAAGCGUGAGUGACGGUAAUGGGUAAAGAAGCACCGGCUAACUACGU
rnacentral:rRNA from 1 species